rnacentral:rRNA from 1 species
AGCGAACGUUAGCGGCGCGCCUAACACAUGCAAGUCGCACGAGAAAGGGAGCAAUCCCCGGUACAGUGGCGCACGGGUGAGUAACACGUAGAUGACCUUCCCUGGAGUGGUGGAUAACCUGCCGAAAGGCGGGCUAAUACAGCAUGGGGCCACAUGGUUUUGACCGAGUGGUGAAAGCGGGCCUCUGUUCACAAGCUCGCGCUCUGGGAUGGGUCUGCGUCCCAUCAGCUAGUUGGUGAGGUAAUGGCUCACCAAGGCAUCGACGGGUAGCUGGUCUGAGAGGAUGACCAGCCACACUGGAACUGAGACACGGUCCAGACUCCUACGGGAGGCAGCAGUGGGGAAUCUUGCGCAAUGGGCGAAAGCCUGACGCAGCGACGCCGCGUGGUGAUGAAGGCCU